rnacentral:rRNA from 1 species
CAGUAGCCGCGGGAAAACGUAGGUGGCAAGCGUUGUCCGGAAUUAUUGGGCGUAAAGGGCUCGCAGGCGGUUUCUUAAGUCUGAUGUGAAAGCCCCCGGCUCAACCGGGGAGGGUCAUUGGAAACUGGGAAACUUGAGUGCAGAAGAGGAGAGUGGAAUUCCACGUGUAGCGGUGAAAUGCGUAGAGAUGUGGAGGAACACCAGUGGCGAAGGCGACUCUCUGGUCUGCAACUGACGCUGAGGAGCGAAAGCGUGGGGAGCGAACAGGAUUAGAUACCCCUGUAGUCCCUGUCUCUUAUAC